UCAUACAAGAGGCCCAAAUUAACCGCAAUACUCGGCGUAAAGAGUGGUGAGAUGUUAUCUCAACAACUAAGACCAAAUUGCAACUAAGCUGUCAUAAGCCCACGGUGCAUCUAAACCCACCCUCAAAACGAUCUUAGCACCCACGACUAAUUUCAACCCACGAAAGCCGGGACACAAACUGGGAUUAGAUACCCCACUAUGCCCGGCCCUAAAUCUAGAUGCUUUAGCCCACCAAAGCAUUCGCCUGAGAACUACGAGCACAAACGCUUAAAACUCUAAGGACUUGGCGGUGUCCCAAACCCACCUAGAGGAGCCUGUUCUAUAAUCGAUAACCCACGAUACACCCAACCAUCUCUUGCCAACACAGCCUACAUACCGCCGUCCCCAGCUCACCUCCACUGAGAGCUAAAACAGUGAGCUCAACAGCUUAUCCCCGCUAGCAAGACAGGUCAAGGUAUAGCCCAUGAGAUGGAAGAAAUGGGCUACAUUUUCUAGCAUAGAAUAUUUACGGAAAAGGGCAUGAAACAGCCCCUAGAAGGAGGAUUUAGCAGUAAGGCAGGACAAUAAAGCCUGCCUUAAGCCUGGCCCUGGGACACGUACACACCGCCCGUCACCCUCCUCACAAGCCAUCCCAAUCAAUAAAUAAUCCACACAGCCCAAAGCUAGAGAUGAGGUAAGUCGUAACAA
rnacentral:rRNA from 1 species